rnacentral:rRNA from 1 species
AACGAACGCUGGCGGCAGGCUUAAUACAUGCAAGUCGAACGGGCGCAGCAAUGCGUCAGUGGCAGACGGGUGAGUAACACGUGGGAACCUUCCUCGUUGUACGGAACAACUCAGGGAAACUUGAGCUAAUACCGUAUAAGUCCGAGAGGAGAAAGAUUUAUCGCAAUGAGACGGGCCCGCGUCGGAUUAGGUAGUUGGUGAGGUAACGGCUCACCAAGCCAACGAUCCGUAGCNGAUCUGAGAGGAUGAUCAGCCACACUGGGAC